UCUCUUUCCAAAAUCAAUUCGAGCUUUGGAUAACAAUACUUUAUGGUAGGCAGGAAGUAAGAAGACCCACUGUAAGACAUCUGCUCAUUUAUGCACGCAGCUAAGAUGUACAUAUGAACCUCAAUUGGGUAAAAUGUAAGGCGAGUGUAUAAAGGGUGAAGCGACAGCCACAUUUAACCAGAAAAUAAAUGGCAUACGAGCCUUUAGGUCUUAGUGUACAUUCUCAACUGAUUAGGGUAAGAGCGUUUCAUUCGCUUUUAAAGUAAAAAUAUUUCUGAUUGUAGUGAAAAAAAGUCUCAAUAUUCAUGGUUCCGCACUCUCGGAGACAAUCGAUUUCAUUCAAUAUUGAUGGUAUACCCUCACUGAAUCGUAUGCUUCUAUCUCAUUGAUUUGAGAGAGCUCACCGACAAGUUACGUUAAAAUGCUGUUGGCGACUUUGGCGGAUGUUCACACAAAACCACAUCACGGAUUUAGUAUGUGUAAUGUGUAUGUAUUGAAAAAAAAACAAAUAAAAUCGGCAAAGGAGCUGCCUAACUAUUGCAAUAGACACCUGUUGAGAAGAAACCUCAUGCAUAUUACCAUUAAUAGGAAUAUGAUCUUUAUAUAAGCUCAGAAGUAGCGAAAAAUACAUAAAAUCAGUAGGAUAAUAAUGAUAGGAUUGCUUUCCUAAAAAAACCGGUCAUAUUUUUUUUAAUUUGUAAGUGUAGAAAAUGCAAAAAGGUAAAAAUAAAAAAAGACUACUAUAACAAUUCAAGAUUUGCAUUAUAUUUUUUUCAAAAAAUUUAGAUGUGUUUUUUUUCGGGCUCAAACUUGGUCCCUAUAUUUCCAAAAAAAAAAACGUAAAGUUAAAAAAAAUGGAUGUUUGUCCUUAUUUGUUUAUUGUUACUCCACGAAUUAAGAUCCAAUUUUAUUUAAAUCGUAUGAAAAAACUUUCCGUAUAGAUAUCAAAGAAAACUUAUGUUUUAAAGCUAUCCUAUUAUUUACAUUCCUUCAAUUACAUCAUCUUCCACUGACAAUGAAUGUUUUCUUGUCAUGUUUUGUUUUGCAAGAAUCUUUAUAUUUUCAGUUUUUUUUUAAGUUUUCAAGAAAAUAUUAUUGCACAUCCACUAAAGAAGAUGCAAUGAGCAUCGAUAGCUCUAGAAUUGAUGCUUUUUAGUUCUUAGCUAAACUUGUUUCAAUUUUCAUCAAAUUAAUAAACCACCCCUUACCAUACUUCGUAUUUUUGCAAGAAAACACUAUUACGAGAGUUUAUAGUAUCACUUCAUUUUUUUUACAUAAUGCCUUAUUAGGUAUCUAAUAAUUUAUGUUAUUUUUUACCCUGUAGGUCUUUGGUCAAUCAUGACCAUUUUGACCAAGAGACUUUUUUUUUUUAACCUGUAAGACCAACUAAUCUCCUUCUCUGGGAAGGAGACAGUGGAAGGAUGAGCCAAAAUAAUUUAUGUUAUAUAUAAAAUACCAGCAAUGCAAGUUGUCCAUUAAAUAUUAUCCUAAAUUAGUAUGAAAUGUCCAUCUUUCCAUUACUAGUGAUCUCAAAAUUAUAAUAGUCUUAUCACAAAUAAAAUACAUAUUGGUUUGGAAGCAUUACCUAUACCUACUGUGAUAUAAUAAACAAUCCCACAAUCCUUAGAAAUUAUAUAUGUGUACAUAUAUAGUGCAGUAUCAGAAAAUACUUAAAUUUUACCAGGGUUGUACUCAGACAAGAACUAAAAUUCAAUAAAAAAUAUUGUAUAUAUAUUUUUUUGUGCAAGUUUAGAUAUUAUUAUAGGUUUUAGAACUUUAAUAAUUUUAUAUUAAAUUGGUGUUGGCCACGAAGUGGAACACCAAUUAAUAAAUAGUUUCUACAAGUUAAUAAUUACAUAUUUAAAAUAAAACUUUUUUUUAAAUACGUGCAUUUUAUUUUAAUUGUAAGAGCGUUGUAACGUUUAAUUUUGUAAAAGCGAUGCUUAAUGUCAUUCUUAUUUUUAUUUUAACUCAAUAUUGGAACUUUCUCACGAUAUAAGAAACAAGAAAAAAAAAUAUAAUUGAUAGUUUUAUUAAUGAGAUGCCUAAAAAGCCCUUAAUUGACAUAGUUUCCAGAGAAAAAUAAGUUAUACUGACUGAGCACUGAGUUUUCGACACAAAUAUGUAUAUAUUAAAAGUUGGAAUAGAUACUAUUUGCCAGAUUAAUAUUAUUUAUAAUUUACAAAUUAAAUAAAAGGCAAAAUUCCCAAAUACAAUUCUGGGAUAAACUCUGACUGAACAUAGGUUAUGUGCUUGUAUAUAAUAAGCACAAAUACGGUAUAGAAAAUAUAGAAUUUAUAUCAAUACAUUAGUCUGCGAGUAUAGAUAGAUACGAGUGAGUGUAUAGCGACGAUUUCGUCCGGUUGAAGUCAUCGCUUCGAAUACACUCGACAGAAUUAUGUGAGCGAAAGAGAUGAUAUAGCAGAGGUGAGAGAGGUUUACAAUAAUGGACCAAAAAUGAGAUUUGCAAUCCAUAACUAUUGCAUAUCACCGUCAAAUCCGAAUUGUAUGAUUAUAUUACAAUAGACCGAAUAUUGAUAAAAUAUUAUG